rnacentral:rRNA from 1 species
CUUGCUGGGUUGGAUGAGUGGCGAACGGGUGAGUAACACGUGAGUAACCUGCCCCCUUCUUUGGGAUAACGGUCGGAAACGGCUGCUAAUACCGGGUAUUCACUGUCCUUCGCAUGGGGGGUGGUGGAAAGGUUUUUUUCUGGUGGGGGAUGGGCUCGCGGCCUAUCAGCUUGUUGGUGGGGUGAUGGCUUACCAAGGCUUUGACGGGUAACCGGCCUGAGAGGGUGACCGGUCACAUUGGGACUGAGAUACGGCCCAG